GAUGAACGCUAGCGGCAGGCUUAAUACAUGCAAGUCGAGGGGCAGCAGGGCGUAGCAAUACGCUGCUGGCGACCGGCAAACGGGUGCGGAACACGUACGCAACCUUCCUUUAAGUGGGGGAUAGCCCAGGGAAACUUGGAUUAAUACCUCGUAAUAUUAUGAGACGGCAUCGUUUUAUAAUUAUAGCUCCGGCGCUUAAAGAUGGGCGUGCGCCUGAUUAGGUAGUUGGCGGGGUAACGGCCCACCAAGCCUUCGAUCAGUAACUGGUGUGAGAGCACGACCAGUCACACGGGCACUGAGACACGGGCCCGACUCCUACGGGAGGCAGCAGUAAGGAAUAUUGGUCAAUGGACGCAAGUCUGAACCAGCCAUGCCGCGUGGAGGAUGAAGGUCCUCUGGAUUGUAAACUUCUUUUAUCUGGGAAGAAACCCAUGUUUUCCAAUGUGGUUGACGGUACCAGAUGAAUAAGCACCGGCUAACUCCGUGCCAGCCGCCGCGGUAACAC
rnacentral:rRNA from 1 species